rnacentral:lncRNA from 1 species
AGAAAGCGUCCUCUAGAGCUUUGGCACAGUUACUCUGAUCUGGGCUUUUUCAAAGGGCCCAGGCUAUAGUUUAGGAGAUGGUGGUCAGGAAGCCCUCAUGAAACCUUGUCAGAAGAGCUGAAGUCCCCUGAGUCAGAAGGUCAAUGACAGUAACUUCCAAGGCUCGUCAAUGAGCCUUUUUGUCUUGCAGGUCAUCUUUUACGCUUGUUAAAUAAUGAACAAUAACUCACCACUAGUCACUUUAUACCCAUAACUAACUCUGGCUCUUAUGGUCCCUGGUUACUGGUGUAAGGGCUGAAAUUUAUUUUGUCU